rnacentral:rRNA from 1 species
UACGUAGGGUGCGAGCGUUGUCCGGAAUUACUGGGCGUAAAGGGCGCGCAGGUGGCAGACCAAGUCAGAUGUGAAAUAGCUCGGCUUAACCGGGCGGGGUCAUUUGAAACUGGUCAGCUAGAGUACAGCAGAGGUUAGCGGAAUUCCCGGUGUAGUGGUGAAAUGCGUAGAUAUCGGGAGGAACACCAGAGGCGAAGGCGGCUAACUGGGCAUGUACUGACGCUGAGGCGCGAAGGCUAAGGGAGCAAACAGG